rnacentral:rRNA from 1 species
AUGGAUCAGGAGCUAAUGGAGCACCUUGAGGCCAAAGUGAGUGCUGACAACGCGAGAUCUCACCCUCUCAUCGAUUUGUUCAUACCAACCAUCGACAGCGAGCACGGCAUAUGCUACACCCAUCCUGAGAAACUUCCAGGUAUCACACUGAGUGGCCAGAGCAAGCAUUUCUUCCAGCGCAAUUCCAGGGCGUUCAAAACGGGCACGUGGACGCGUCACAAGAUACAGUCGGAGUGCGGCAUGCACGUGAUGUGGCACAACACCGGCAAUACCGUGCCGGUGAUGGUCAACGGCCGGCAGACGGGCAACAAAAAGGUUCUGGUGCUGCACACCAACAAGAACUUCGACCAGCAGAGGACCAACUGGGUGAUGCACCAGUACCACCUUGGGGACCUGGAGCAAGAGAAGGAGCGGGAGCUGGUCCUCUGCAAGAUUUUCGACCAGACGAACACUAGGGCCAGGAGUAAAAAGAUUAUAAGUUAG